rnacentral:rRNA from 1 species
UACGAAGGGGGCUAGCGUUGCUCGGAAUCACUGGGCGUAAAGCGCACGUAGGCGGAUUGCUAAGUCAGGGGUGAAAUCCUGGAGCUCAACUCCAGAACUGCCUUUGAUACUGGCGACCUUGAGUCCGGGAGAGGUGAGUGGAAUUGCGAGUGUAGAGGUGAAAUUCGUAGAUAUUCGCAAGAACACCAGUGGCGAAGGCGGCUCACUGGCCCGGUACUGACGCUGAGGUGCGAAAGCGUGGGGAGCAAACAGG